rfam:Stegodyphus mimosarum contig45334, whole genome shotgun sequence.
GCCUUCGUGGUGUAGUGGUCAGCAUGCUCGACGCGUAUUCGAGAGGUCCGUGGUUCGAGUUCCGGAGAGGGCA